UUUUUUUUUUUUUUUUUUUUGAGACGGAGUCUCGCUCUGUCGCCCAGGCUGGAGUGCAGUGGCCAGAUCUCAGCUCACUGCAAGCUCCGCCUCCCGGGUUCACGCCAUUCUCCUGCCUCAGCCUCCCGAGUAGCUGGGACUACAGGCGCCCACCACAGCACCCGGCUAAUUUUUUGUAUUUUUUAGUAGAGACGGGGUUUCACCGUGUUAGCCAGGAUGGUCUCGAUCUCCUGACCUCGUGAUCCGCCCGUCUCGGCCUCCCAAAGUGCUGGGAUUACAGGCUUGAGCCACCGCGCCCGGCCAAAAACUAGUUUUUAUUAUGUUCAGAAUGAUUGGUUAGCUGACUUUCUUCGCAGCUUAGGGAAAUUUUCCUUUUCCUAAGCCCUUUAGAGUCUUUUCAAUAAAAUGCACUGUGUGUAAUGGCAAAAAAUAUUUCACGCAGUCGUAUGCAAAAACAGGAAUCUGAAAAUGUAAAUUUUAGGAAUGAGUUAUUAAGAAAAGACAUUUGGAUCAAAGAAAAACGUAUUUCUAAAGUGAGUAUGAUUUAUGGUGCUAGGAUGGGACAGCUUGCCUUCUGAGAAACAGACUUGCUUGACCCAGUUUGUGUUCAGCUAUCUGGUAACUUGUUCAAAAGGAUUAACAUGUAAGGGUCUGGAAAAACUCUAGUCUGUAAGUGGCUAUUUAGUACGGGCAGGAAAAGGCAGUUUUUUCCCUAGAAGCCUGGGGCCAUACUUUUCCUACGUUCCCAUUAACGCAUUUAAGGCACACCUGUUGCUGAGAAAUGCAUCCUCUACACUUUACAGGGUAUGUUUAUACACACAGUAGCGACUGAGUCAUUUAGUCUGUCAUAAGCUGCUUCCAGUUUUUAGCCUAUUUUCUCUGGAAAAUAAUACAAUUUCUCUUUUUUGGCAAUGUUCCUAUGAAUAACAGUGCAAAGAGAAAAACAAAUAAAGAAUUAUUGUAUUUUUAGAUAUUUAAAAGACAUUGGUGGCCCGGUGCAGUAGUUCAUGCCUAUAAUCCCUGCACUUUGGGAUGGUGAGGUGGAAGGAUUGCUUGAGUCCAGGAGUUCAAGAUGAAUCUGGGCAACCUAGUGAGACCUCGUCUCUACAAAAAAUUAAAAACUUAGCCAGGCAUAGUGCUGAGUGCCUGUAGUCCCCGUUAUUCGGGAGGCUGAGGUGGGAGGAUUGCUUGAGCUCAGGAGGUUGAGGCUGCAAUGAGCCAAUAUUGCACCACUGGACUCCAGCCUAGGUGACAGAGCGAGACCCUGUCUCAUAAAUAAAUAAAUAAAUAAAAUAAAAAUAAAACUAGGAGGACAGUGGCUAGGUUUUUUCCCCUAGCCUAAUGAACUCACUGGACAAAACUCUGGAUUAUAAGGGUGGUAGAAUACUAGAAUGAGCUUAUGACAUAUUCUGUUAAGUAGAAAAAAAUCUUUUGAAAGCAACUUACUGAGAGAUUUGAAAAUAUACUAAAAAAAGAGACAGCAGGAAAGCAGUGGCUUCAGAACACUACGUGAAUCAUAAUGAGAAAGCAAGUCAUUUUCUACUGCCCCUCCCUGUUCAGCUAUUAGUGUAUCUUUGGCAGAUUGAAAACACUUAGUCAACUUCCUUUUUAAAUACAGUAGACAUGAAAUUUAUGGCCUCCUCACUUACUCCUCCUUAGAGAAUUUCCCCUCUCACUUUCCAAGAAGCAGUUCUGUGGGCCCAUGACAGGACCCUCCCCAGUUAGCCCAGCGACAGCUGACUGGAUCCAGGUGACAACUGGCUUGUGCUAGACAGACAGGUCCCUCUCCAAGGAAUUUAGAAUUGGGACAGAAGGACAGGAGUCAGUUAACUUGCCUGUGGGGGUUUGGUUUGAAAGUUCACAUAGAGUCUGAGCCACACUUAGAACCAGUGCCAGCCAGAACCACAUGUACUAAAGAUUUAGUAGGGCCGGGAAGUCACGAGUAGGCUGAGAGAACAGGCAGAGGGCAGGAAAAAGGAGCAGCCACAGUGAGAAGGGUAGAAAGAAAAAGCUAGAGACCUCAGGAGAGAUGACUUAACUCUAGCUGUCUUAAAGGAGUUUUUAUACUUGACAGCUGGGGGUGGAUCCAGGUUUUGUGGGCCCUGAAACAUAUAUCAUUUUGUGCCUUCUCCAGAAGAAGAAUUCAAAAUUACAAUAGACCAUUUGGUACAGGGUCGCAUGAAGCUCAAGUGAGGGGCCCUAAAACUCAAGCUCCAUUAAUUUCCUUUUCCCUCUGUUUACAAUCAAGUCAUUUCUGAGGAAGAUAUCCAGACACACACUAAGGAGGAUCUUUUGCAGAAGGUCAAGAGGAAUCUGGACUGAAUUUCCAAGGAAACUUGUUUCUAGAGACCUUUAAUUAGGGACAUUCUGGUGAAUUCUUUCUUUGGCCAUUUCAUCUCUGGAAGCCUGUGUGCUUCAGGGAUUCUGAGGGCCACGCUCACAACUCAUUCUCUAAUUCCCUACACAUCCCACUGGUCUUUCUUCUAUAUAUUACAAUUUUGUUACGGUUCCCC
rnacentral:lncRNA from 1 species